UACGUAGGGUGCAAGCGUUGUCCGGAAUUAUUGGGCGUAAAGAGCUCGUAGGCGGUCUGUCGCGUCGGCUGUGAAAACCCGGAGCUCAACUCCGGGCCUGCAGUCGAUACGGGCAAACUGGAGUACUGCAGGGGAGACUGGAAUUCCUGGUGUAGCGGUGGAAUGCGCAGAUAUCAGGAGGAACACCGGUGGCGAAGGCGGGUCUCUGGGCAGUAACUGACGCUGAGGAGCGAAAGCGUGGGGAGCGAACAGG
rnacentral:rRNA from 1 species